CGAAUGAAGUUCAAGCAUAUCAAGUGGUUUUCAAGUUCUCUAUAGUAAGCGUCCUAACAAGCAAAACAAGAAUCACCACACACCUUAAAUCCUUAUUACAUUCAAAUCGCUAAACAUGACCUGCCAAGCAACUAAUGAUUCAUAUUGAGUAAUGUUUUGAGCAUAUAAAACCUCACUAAGCUCAAAGUAACUAAUUAAUAUCAAGUUGCUCCUACCAAAUUGGACAAGUUGGUAGAGACUUCCACCAUAUCUGGGCGUUCAUUUGGAUGCUCAUUCAAACAUUUUACUGCUAUGUCUGUGAUGCCAUUAGGAAGCUCAUCAUUAUCUUGUAGAAUUGAUUCAUUCACUAUUGAUUUUUUUUCUCCUUGGAGUUCCCUAAGAAUCCAGUGGUGCAUUGCCAUCUUCUUCUCUAUACCAAUGUAGCUAUUGCCAAUCAACUCCACAAGUAGAAUGCCAAAUAUGUAAACAUCAGCUUUUAAAUUCUGAAUACCUACAAUAACAUGCAGGAUCAUGUAAUGUUAGUUAUUUAUUACACGAUAAAAAAGAACAAUCUUACACAUCCAAAGAUUAGGAUAGAUCAUUGCAAUUCAAGAUUUAGAAAAUAUCCAAUGAAAUCUUAAAGUACAAUGAUCAUUGCAAUUCAAGAUUUAGAGAAUAUCCAACGAAAUCUUAAAGUACAAUGUGAAUGAAUAAAAGUCAUUUGUCCAUCCUCUAUCACUAACAAAAGGUAAUAGAAUAGAGAUAGAUACUGAUGAUUGAGAACAAAAGAACAAAACCACAACAGGUCAAACGUUGUGUUGUUGAGGCUUAUUUAAGGCGUGUAUAAGCCGAGCUUAGGGAGGGUGCUUCAACUCACUUAAACUCUGGUUAAGUAUAUGCAGGGUGAGCUAAGGUGUGUGACCCAUUGCCCAUGAGUAUUAUCUUGAAUAAAGUGGUGGCACCUAUAAAUAAAUAUAACCGGCAAAAGAAGUUACCUUUUUUUUCUUGCAUUACAUAUAUGUUUGUACUUGGUUUCUUAAUAAAAUCCACACCUCCAUUUCACUUAAAGCCCUAAUAGACCUGGAGUGUUUUAUUAAAAGCUUUUCACCUUCAAAUGAAAGAACAAAGGAAAUGACAAUAGAAACUGAUUCCAGAUAUCCUUGAGUACCAACCUCUGCCUGCUAUAUUCCAGAUAUUCCGGGUGUCUCUAGGACCAUGAAUACAACCAAGAAACUCACACCAAAUUAAUACUACAGAUACAACUAAUGAAAGAAGCAAUGAAGAAAUGGUUGAACCUAGAACAUUGACCAAUAGAGCAAGAAUAUUUGCAAGGAAAUCAAUUUGUCCAGAGCGACAAGAGAAUGAGGAAAGUACAAUAUAAUUACACACAAUAUUGUAUUUUAUGACAUUAAUCUAAACAAAGUAGAAAGAAGAGUAAAGCAUAUAUUAAAGAGAACGAGAGGCAUCUCAAACUGCAAAAAAUCUAGGUUGUAUGAAAGGGGAAAAAUCAUGUAUCUAAAAUGCCGAAGAGAUCCUUUCCUCUUCCAUUCAUUUAAGGCAGUACCUGCAAUCCUUCUAUCUAGAUAUAGCCAUAGCCACAUGCAUUCUAGAUUGGGUUGUUGCCCAAUCUUUCCCUUUUCUCAUGCAUUUUUUUAUGCGAGAGAAGGCGAAUACAAUAAAUGAAUUCACACCUUGAAACUUGUAACUAGCAAAUUCAGAAGUCACUAACUUGGAAUUUGGAUUAUGAUUUAUUUAAUUUUUUGGAAACAUUUGUGUCAUCUUCAUGAAUUCUAUACCUAAAUGGUUAAGGUUAAAAUCAAAUGAUUCUCCCGUCAAUCUAGCACCUCCGGCAACGUUUACAACACCCUCUCCUCCUCCCUUCUAAUCUGAUCCAUUUCUCUUUCGUUAACCCUCUCCUUUGUUCUUAUUUUCUACAUUCUUUUUCUUUAACCAAACUUUAUCGAAACACAUCCAUCUCUCUCAGCAGCUACCUUUUCUAACUUUUGCUUUUGCAAGUUUAUGAAGUACUAAAAGAAGCAUUAUCUUAGUGUUGUAUAAAUAAACGGAAUCCAUUUUUUGCUAAUUAAAACAAACUGUCACUCAUCUAUGCAUUGGUCAAUAGCAAAUACGGGGACAAAAGGUUCUCAUCUUCGACAAGUUAGAUUAGCUGGUUUUUUUUUUGAAUUGCAUAGAUUACUUUUCUAAUUGGCAUAGAUCCCAAAACAGAUAUUCGCGCUUUGAAUCAUGUGGAAAAUAACUUUUCUCUCAGGCACUAAUAUCGAGAUGAUUGUCUAGAUUGAUAUUUCCUUCUUUCUUCUCCGGUGAUCCUUCUGAUCACCGGAAGCUACCUUCUCCUUUCCUUCUCUUUUUCCCUCCUAAAACUUUUCUAGAACUAACCCUCGAUGGACGACACUAUAUACUUCGCAGUCGAAUUUAAAUCCUACGAUGUCACACGAACACCCGGAACAGCAGGUGAUUGGUAUGACUGGACAGAAAGAAGCAGGAACUUCGUCACAAGAACAACCUUCAACGCCAAAGCAUUGGAAUGGAUCUGUCAGACUCUACGGGAGGCCUCAAAAACAAAGGGGAAUACGGUGCGAAGAUGGAAGAAAAAGGAUGCUUUCUCAGAGAUUUAUUGUGCCAGAAAUUACAACAAGUAUGGAAGGUACAUUAGCUUGAUAAACAUCAAAGGCAGAAGAAGGGCAGUUAUUAUCAUCCCUGAAAUGACUAUCAACUCAGGAUGGUCAGGAAUUGCAGAAAAGAUUGAGAGAUUUAUCAGCAGCCAUAAACACGUGGGGAACCGAGGAGUACAUAGGUUGGUGGAUAAGAACAUACCGUAUGCAGAAAUUCUAAAGAGCAUUAAAUGGGCAAACAAGGGGAAUAUUGGUUCUAGGGAAGAGGGGAGAUAGAAUCUGCAUUAAUGAUAAUGCAAACUCAUACAGUGAAGUUUUAAAGAAGAGCUUAGUGGGAAAAUUUGUAUAUAGUAAAGGCGAAGCCCCAACCCUUGCAGAUAUCAAAAGGUGGACAAAUGAACUUUGGAAGCAGACUUAUGGCUUGAAUAUCUACGAGAUGGGAAACGACUACUUCUUAUUUGAGUUCUCCUCCAUGAUCACAGCAGAACAAGUAGUUGAAGGUAAUUGGAGUUGGAGGAACUCUCCAGUGCUUUUCCAAUGGUGGAAUCCGACGAUAUGUACAUCAUUGGAGACAGAGAGAGCUAGAACAACAUGGAUCAAAAUCGUUGGUAUGCCCCUUCAGUUUUGGUCCCACGGGGUGUUCAAAGCCAUCAGUGAUUUCUGCGGAGGAUGGGUCGAAACAGAGGAGGAAACACAACUACGAAAUCACCUAAAAUGGGCGAGAAUCAAGGUCGAAGGUGAUGGCACCAAAGUACCUAAAGAGGUCACGAUAGACGAUGGAAACCUCCAAUUCACGAUGCAAAUCUGGACUGAAAGUCCUGCAAGGGUGUUCGCCGGAGAAGAACAGAGCCAAAAAAUCCCUUCGAAAGUGGAUAUUACCUAACGGUCCAAAAUAUUUGUACCAAAGGAUCGUGAGUUACAUCGUACUUUGGACAGUGAUAUGUCAGCCACAGCUGGACAACCACGUGCAAAUACAGAGACACGUGAGGAGGGUUCCAAGUUUAAAUUAAUGGGCCAAGACCGACUUGUAGGUCAUGACCCAACAAUUAACUUGGGCCUCAAUUGUAAAGGUGGGCCGUUCAUAAUCCCUCAGACAAAGGAGAAAGCAUGUGAGGGUCACGUGACUUUUAAUGAAAGGGCAGAGCAAUUGCAAGAGGUCGGGGAAGGCUCAAAGCCGCCGGAAAAUUUCAAAGCUGGACAUAGUAUGCAGAUACAACAGAUUCAUGAUGUCGAACCAGUGUCUACCAAUAUGCCCGAAAUUCGGCAAGAUCAAGAGGGUGAGGCAUCACAAUGGANNNNNNNNNNNNNNNNNNNNNNNNNNNNNNNNNNNNNNNNNNNNNNNNNNNNNNNNNNNNNNNNNNNNNNNNNNNNNNNNNNNNNNNNNNNNNNNNNNNNUUGAUAUGUUGAAAAGCUGGGAAGGAGUUGGAAGAAGAGGAUCACAAGAAAAUUGGUGGAGAAGUAUCCCAGUAUGUGUUUGGUGGACUUUAUGGAAAGAGAGAAAUGAAAAAUGUUUUGAAGGAAAAGCAAGCUGUUUCCAGAAGAUCAAGAUGAAGAGUAUAAGUCUUUUGUAUUUUUGGUGUAAACAUGAUAUAGUGGGGGAAAUAGAUAGUUUAGUUGAUUUCAAAGGACAAUUGCAAAGCCUCUCAUCUAGUCUUUUAAUCUUGAUGAAGCCCUUUGGGGUUGUAAAUCCCACCCCAUCAGCUUUUGCUUGAUGGGCUUUUUGGUGUGCAUACACAGUUACUAUUAUCAAAAAAAAGUUAGAUUAGCUAUUUUUCUUGAAGGAUUGGUAACAUAUAGCAUUCAGAGCUUAGCUGGUUCAAACAAACAGUUUAAAAGAUAGAAGUGCCCCUGACUAUAAAUUUCUUCACCACAAAGUUCACUAAAAGUAUAGACAUUGAAGUAAAUAAGACAAUAGACACACCGUAUCUAGCCUCUGGAGGUUCUCGAAUAGCAUGAUAAGGCAAGGGACCCCAAUUAUCUUCAUUCGUGACCGGAGUAAGGAAACCAAAGUCGAAUACUUUAAUGUUGAAGUCCUGCGAGCCAAAUUGAACAGUAACUUGUAAAAGACCAACACGUAAGGAGGUCGAAAAGGAAUGAAGGAAUUAAUUAAGUUGUUACGUUGUCAAUCAUUAUGUCUUUUGGUCUGACAGUACCAAAUGCAUAUCGCCUCUCAUGAAACCAGGCGAAGAGGCUUGCAAGUUGAGUGGCCACCUUCAUUCUAGCAUUCCAUCCAAACUGAUUGCUUGCACAAGGAACAGAUGAUACGUUAAAAGCUAGAAAAUUUGGUCGCAGGUGAAAAUUCCUUUACCAGAAGAAUAAAGGUUGGUUGAAAAAACUUGUGUUGGCAUUUCAUCAUACACUAGUGCAAGUAUAUAUUGAAAACAGAACCCCUUUAAGUUCAUCAAACAUGGAUCUCGGUCUUCACGCGUUAGUAUUUCAAGCUCGUUCUGCAAAUUAAAUUUUCUAGGGAAAAAAUAAAAAAAUGAGAUGGAACAAAUUAAACAUACACAAAAUCUAUCCGGAUGGUCAGCAUAAGAGGGGAACUGUGGAACAAAGAAAUCCCAUGCUUUGAUAGCAACAUUGCCUUGAUGAUCUGCAAACAAUCUGUCGUACAUAGUGUGGAUUUGCAAAAAUAAAAGAUUGUAUUGGAAAAUUCUCUUUGAAUUGAUUGAUUUUCUCUGUACAAUUUACCUAUAUUUAUACAAGUAUCCUGCUAGCUAACUGUACAGGUGGCUAUUUCUAAUUGGUCUACCUCUAACAAACUAAUGGAUAAAUACAGAAAUUGUAUAAUAAAAGAUGCCAUAAUUAAGUUCUAGAAGAGAGUGUAUAUGCUAAAGCCCAAACGUUCAAAACAGAUUCAAUCAAACAUCUGAGGCCCACGUCUGAGGCCCAAUGGUUGCAUAACCUAAGUCCAUAAUAUCAUUUGUAGGGUCUUUCAUUUGUAGCUACUUCCAUUCUUAAACUAGUAGCCUGGAAGAGUGUAAAAUCGUCUGAGAAGGAAGAAGAAUUCCAACACCCCCCCUCAAGUUGGAGGGGAUGAAACACCCAACUUGUGAAGAAGAGAGUGAUGAGUAGGUCCGGUGAGAGAUUUAGUAAACAGAUCUGCAAGUUGAGAGGAAGAUCGAACAUGAGAGAGCGAAAUAAGACCGGCGAGGUACUGCUGACGAACGAAAUGACAGUCGAUUUCGAUGUGUUUCGUUCGUUCAUGAAAAACCGGAUUUUUAGCAAUAUGUAUGGCAGCAGAACUAUCCGAAUGAAGAGGAACCGGUCAAACUGAUCGGAACAUUGAGAUCUACGAACAAUCGGACCAACCAAGUAAGUUCGGCAACGACUCGCCUCAUCGACCUAUAUUCAGCUUCAGCCGAACUGAGUGAUAUUGAUGCUUGCUUUUUUUAUUUCCAUGUAAUAGGAGAAGAACCAAGAGAAAUAUAGAAACCACUGACGGACUUUCGUGAAUCCGGGCAGGUUCCCCAAUCGGAAUCACAAAAGGCAAGGAGCUGGAAGGACGACGAACUGGACAUAAAGAUCCCAAGACCUGGAUCAUGGAGCAAAUAGCGAAGUACUCGUAAAGCCGCAGUAAAAUGAGGAAGACGAGGGUCCUGCAUAUACUGACUAAGGUGUUGUACAGUGAAUGAGAGAUCCGGCCUCGUGUGAGUCAGGUAAUUCAGUUUUCCCAGCAAGUGUCGAUAUAGAGUAGGAUUCGUCAAAGGAAUACUCAUUGGCCUUAAUUUGACAGAAGAAUCCAGAGGUGUAGAAACAGGAUUAAGGUCCAAACAAUCGAACUCUGUUAAUAAUUCAAAAAUGAACUUCCUUUGAGAAAGAAUUAAACCAUGUGGUUCCCGAAUGACUUCCAAACCGAGGAAGAAGUGUAAAUUACCAAGAUCUUUAAUCUUAAAUUCUGCAUCCAAGAAUAACUUGAGUUCCUGUAAGUCGGCUGGAUUAUCUCCUGUCAAUAAAAUGUCAUCGACAUAAAUUGCAACUAUAGAAAUCGAAUAAGUAGACUUCUUAAAAAACAAAGAAUAGUCAUUGAGAGAAUGACUAAAUCCUUUGAAAUUGAGGGCAGCAGUGAGUUUUGAAUACCAUUGUCGAGAGGCCUGUUUUAGGCCAUAAAUAGACUUCUUUAAUAAACAAACAUGAUUAGGGGGAGGAGGAGAAAGACCAGUAGGAAAUCUCAUGUAAACUUCCUCAUUGAGGUCACCAUGUAGAAAUGCAUUAUUUACAUCUAAUUGAAAGAGACCCCAGCCUCUCUUUACUGCAAUAGCCAAAAUACAUCGAACAGUGGUCAUCUUCACCACUGGUGAAAAAGUCUCAGUGUAAUCCACCCCUUCUUUUUGUAUAUCACCUCUAAUGACCAAUCUGGCCUUAAAUCUCUCAAUACUACCAUCUGAAUGUUGUUUGACUUUGUAAACCCACUUGCAAGGCAAAGCCUUUUUCCCAUGAGGCAAAAGAACAACAUCCCAAGUUCUGUUCAGUUCCAAAGCAGCCAGUUCUAGAUUCAUGGCUUCCUGCCAAGCAGGAUCAUGUAUUGCCUGUUCAUAGCUAGCAGGUUCAUGGAUAUUAGAGACAGAGUUGAGCAUAACCUGAUUAGAAGAGGAUAAAGAAUUGAAUGUAAGGGAAGUAGGAGUGACAGGACUAAGAAAACAGGAAGAACUUACAUCUGUGAGUUGUAAAACAUGACAAAUAUAAUCUGUAAGAUAAGAAGGAGUCCUAGUAUUUCUAGAAGACUUUCGAACAAGAGUAUCAAUAAGAGGAUUUGGAUGGGGAGGAUCAGGAGAUGUACUGAUAGGAGAAGGAAUGGGAUUACAGUCAGAUGAGGGAGAAGAAGGAGGAAUAGGCAAAGUAUCAGGAACACUGGACAAUGUAGAGUCAGGCGCAGGUGUAAAUAAAGGAAAAUCAGAAACAUGUAUAUCUGAGGGAGGAAUUGGAAAUAAUCUAUGAGAAAUGUGAGACAUAUCUGAUGAAAAGGGAAAAUAUUCUUCAUAAAAAAUGAUAUCUCUAGAAACAAAAAUUUUCUUUGUUUUAAGGUUCAUGACUUUGUACCCCUUUUUCCCAUAAGGAUACCCCAAAAAUACACAAGGCAAGGCUCUUGGAUCAAACUUUGUUCUAUGAGGAGAAGUAGUGGAAACAAAACAUAAACAACCAAAACAUCUUAGAUGUGAAUAAAGAGGUUUAUCUUUAAAAAGGAUUUCAAAAGGUGUUUUGUGAUUCAAAAUAGAAGAAGGAAACCUGUUAAUCAGAUAGGUGGCAGUUAAUAAACAUUCUCCCCAAUAAAUGAUAGGUAAAUGAGAUUGAUAUAACAAGGCUCUUGAAGUUUCAAGCAAAUGCUUGUGUUUCCUCUCCACUAUUCCAUUUUGUUGUGGAGUGUAAACACAAGUAGUUUGGUGAAUUAUCCCUUUGGAAAGAAAAAAAUCAGAAUGCAAUUUUCCAGCCCCUAAUUCAAAAGCAUUGUCUGUUCUGAUUAUUUUGAUUUGGGAGUUAAACUGUCUUUUAACCAUGGAAAUGAAAGAUUUAAGAAUAGAAAAAACAUUGGAUUUAGAACUAAGUAGAUGAGUCCAUGUUGCUCUACUAAAAUCAUCAACAAUGGUUAAAAAAUACUUAAAACCAUUAUAUGUAGGAGUGUUGUAAGGACCCCAAGUAUCCACAUGUAUUAGUUCAAACACUGAUUUAGUAGAGAGACAACUUUUAGGAAAAGGCAAUUUAGAUUGUCUUGCCAUAGGACAAAUAAUGCAAGGAGAUGAAAAUUUGGAACAAGGUAGAAAAGCUGGAACAACAUUCUUCAUAUUACUCAAAGGCAUAUGGCCUAAUCUAUAGUGCCAUAGCUUUUCUUUUACAUUUGAAUCAAAAAAACUAGAACAUGAAGUAAAGACAUUGGCAACAGAAUUAGGAAAACAAGAACUAUUAGAUCUAGAACUAGAUAGAUGAUUUGUGAGAAGAUCAUCUUGAUCACCAUGUCUGAGAUCAGAAAGACUCUUAGUAACAGCUGGUUGAAGAGACUUGAAAAUAUAUAGACCCCCUUGUUCCUUACCAACCUCCAGAGGGCUCUUCAGUGAAGGGCCCUGCAACAUAAAACAUUUGUUAGGGGUAAAUAAAAUAUAUUUUUGAAACUGUUUACACAGUUUAUGAAUAGACAAAAGAUUGCACUUAAAGGACUGAAUAUAGAGGACAUGGUGAAGAAUUAAUUUAGGUAAGAGUUCCACAGAUCCUGAAUGAGUUACAGUGACUCUAUGUGAAUUAGGAAGAGUAACCAUAAUAGGUUGAGGCAAAAGACUGAGAUUAGAGAAAAGAGUUCUAUUAGAUGUUAUAUGCUCAGAAGCUCCACUGUCUAAAAUCCAUGAAACAUUGCCAACUGUAAACAGAGAAACAUUAGAAUUGGGUAUACCUGCACAAGUGAUGUUAGCAGAUCCUUCACUAGUAUUGCUAGUUUGAUGGUUCAUCUUCUGUAAUAGUUGCAAGAGUUGAGCAACAUUCUCCUGACUGAGUGAAGUUUGAUCUGUAGAACCUUCCAUACCAUGACUGUUAACCUCAGAUGAACUAAAAACAUUGUUAGCAAUAUGACCUUUUUGGUAUUUUUUAUUCUUGGUGAACUUAAAAUCAUCAGGGAAUCCAUGAAGCUUAUAGCACUGUUCAAUAGUGUGACCUGUCUUCUUGCAAUAGUUACAAAUCAAAUUGUUUUUCUUAGAAAAGUUCCCUGGCUUAGGUUUAUAUUCAUCAAACCUCCUAGUUCCUGAAUUUCCAACAAGAAAGGAGGCAGACUCUGUUGGGUAAUUAGGAACAGCAUGUAUUUCUCUCUGUUUUUCAUCUUGAACUACUAGAGAGUAAGCUUGACCAAUGGUAGGAAGAGGGGAAGACAAUAGAAUGUUACUUCUAACCCCAAUGAAGGUGUCAUUAAGACCCAUGAGAAAUUGAAGUAGCAUUUCAUCCUGAUGAGCUUUGACAGUUUUUUCUUUAGCACCACAUACACAAUCACAAGAACAAGCUGAAAAAGUGUUAAGAGCAUCAAGCUCAUCCCAUAAACUUUUCAUCUUGGUGAAAUAAGUAGAAAUACUAGAAUUUCCUUGUACAACAGCAUUUAACUCUUUCUGUAAUUGAAAUAAUUUUGCUCCACUAGCCUGACCAAAUCUGUCUUCCAGGUCAGACCACAAGACUUUUGCACUUUUGGAGUACAAAACAGAUUCAGCAAUCUCUUUUGAAAGAGAAUUCAGUAGCCAAGAUAGCACCAUAUCAUUGCAUCUUGACCAAGCUUUCUGAAAGUUUAUAUCAGUGGGAACAUCUAGGGAUCCAUCAAUGAAUCCUAGUUUGUUCUUGGCUGAUAGAGCAAUGAUAACCCCUCUUCUCCAGCCACCAUAGCUUCUACCAUCAAAGAUGGUGGAAACCAAGUUCAUCCCAGGAGAGUCUGAGGGAUGGAUGUAGAAAGCAUGUGAGGGAUCUACUGCAUUAGUUGCAGAAAUCCCUUCACUCUUUUCAGUAACACUACCAGAAGAUAUUUGAGCAUCCCCCAUGAGGAAAAAGAAAAACAAGCAAGGAAGCAGAAGCUGUAACGAGAAGGGAAGAAGAAAGACUGAAGAGCUAUUAACCUUGCUCUGAUACCAUGCAAAAAUAAAAGAUUUUAUUGGAAAAUUCUCUUUGAAUUGAUUGAUUUUCUCUGUACAAUUUACCUAUAUUUAUACAAGUAUCCUGCUAACUAAUUGUACAUGUGGCUAUUUCUAAUUGGUCUACCUCUAACAAACUAAUGGAUAAAUACAGAAAUUGUAUAAUAAAAGAUGCCUUAAUUAAGUUCUAGAAGAGAGUGUAUAUGCUAAAGCCCAAACGUUCAAAACAGAUUCAAUCAAACAUCUGAGGCCCACGUCUGAGGCCCAAUGGUUGCAUAACCGAAGUCCAUAAUAUCAUUUGUAGGGACUUUCAUUUGUAGCUACUUCCAUUCUUAAACUAGUAGCCUGGAAGAGUGUAAAAUCGUCUGAGAAGGAAGAAGAAUUCCAACAGGAUUAAACAUUGGGAUCGGGAAAAUUUUAGGGUCAUAUUUUCCAAAUCCUUAAAGCUGUAAGGCACCGCAUCCCCCACGGGUGACAGUUUCAUUAUCCAAAGAGAUCUGCAGACAGAAAUAAUCCUUGGGAAUGAAAUUACAAUAGACGAAAUCGAAGAACAUAUAUAUAAAAAGAAUAAAUAUACGAAUAACUGAGAGACUUGCUCAAGGCGUUCUCGAAUGUGGAAGAGCUAAGCGUAAACGAAUCAACCAACAUACGAUAACUGUCUUUCCAUUCCGACUCAUAAUAGUUGUGCUUUUGAUAGAAAUACGGUGAAUGUUUCCAAUACUUGAAUUCCUUCCUCAGCUUUUCCACGCUAUCCAUGGAAGAGAAUGGUGUUUCUGAUUAUGUUUUUUUCUUUUUUCUUCUUCUACAUUAUUCUUUUAUGUUUUAUAUUUGGCCAAUUACAUAUCCGGCCGGCCCCUAAAUAUGUUUAUUUUGACAUCUUAGCUUAAAUUUAUGUUGAACUAGCUAAAUUAUUCGUGCGAUUGAACUAUUUUACUAAGCUUAUAUAUAUAUAUAUAUAUAUAUAUAUAUAUGAUCAUUCUCUAAUAUCCGUAUUUUCAAUACAUAAGCGUUCCACCGAAAUCUUAAAGUGUUUUAUUUUUUUAAUCUUCAUUUUUUUACACAAAAAUUACGAAUCAUAAGAAAAUCUACAUGCAAAUAGCUUGCCAGAAAUAUCAAAAUUUUCUAAAUUUCAGGAAGUUAUAAAUAACAAAAUCAGUCGUUAGAGAAGAGACCAAAAAGUCUCGAACAACAACACUCUUAUUUUUAUUUUGAUAUCUAAACAUAAAUUUAUGGUUAUAUAUCAACACACAUAUUCAGCGUAAUUUACUCAAUUUCAAGCUAUUUAAGUGGUCAAAAUUGAUACUAUGAGAUCAUUAAUGUGCUUAUGAUUUCAUUCAAAUUAAUUCUCUUCUGUUUGAAUUCAAUUUGAUUCAUUAGUGAGGUAAAAAAUUUGAUUUCAUUUUUGUUUUUGUUUUAAGAUUGAAUUUGAAAAGGAUAAAUUCAUUAUAAUUACACUACUAGAAUUUCGUUGUUUGCCGAUUGCUAAAUCGGUCGGAAUGUAGUUGGAAAAUGGAGUUUUUCGACGACUUUCCGACUACUUUUGAGUAGUCGGCAGACUGAGCGUCGGAAAAUACUUGCCGACUAUAGUUGUCACAAUAUGUAAAUUAAAACCUGACCAUUAAAGUACAUGAACUGCCGACUACUGUAGUCGAAAAGCUAGUAAAAUAAUAUUUUAUUAAUUUAAAUACUACCGACUACUGUAGUCAGAAUAUUUGUUAAAUACUAAUUUAGUAACUUAUUAAUGUUGACUACGGUUAUCGUAAUAGUUAAAUAAUUAAAUAUAUAUUUUCCGAUCAUUGUGAAUGAUAUUUAUUAAUCAUUUAAGUACUCUUCCAACUACUAUAGUCGGUAUAAAUAAUUAUUAUAUUAACUUUUUAGGUGAUCUUCCGACCGGCAUUUUUAAUUUUCUAAACAAAAUUCUAUAAGAAAGCUAUAUUUUUAAUAUCCAUCUGCUAAAUUAUACUACCAUCCAUAGAAAUUUAACAUAACAAUAAAACCAAAUAUCUAACACAUUCCUAAACAUUCAAAGUCCACUUGAUUCACAGAUUCACAAUGGAGUCUAAAAGUUCAAGCAUCAUCAAAAUCAAGUCUAACAAGUAUUCAAUUGUUAUUCAAAACGGAAGUAAAUAGUUUAAAACAAGUCUUAAUGUCAUAGCAAAUGUCUAAAGAACCAAAACAUAAUCUACUCUUCAUCAGAGUCGGCAUCAGAUUCAGCCAUAUGUUUCUCCAUGAACUUCUGCACUUUAGCAUAGUUAGCUUCAGAUGUUUGAAGUCGUUCUGUUAGUUUUGAAAUCUCUCUUCACAUUUGCUUCCAUUUCUUUUGAAGUUUGAGAAGUAGAAGCACUAGACAACGGUGAUGGAUGACAUGAAGAAGCUUGUGCUCCAAGCCCGUAAACUCUGCCUUUCUUCACACCUUGUGCCACAUUUUUCCAUAUUGAAGUAAUAUCAUCAGAUGUAAGUUGGGUUGUGGAACCAGCCUCAGAAGUAGGUUGUGUUUGAUGCCAUCCGUUCAAGCCUCUUUGAAACCCAACCUGAAAUAAACGUUAAAUAACCAAUAACUCCAUUUCUUUAAGACAUAAUACAUAGUUAAGUAAGACAAGACAACUGUUAGAUGACAAUGAUUCCUUAUUUGGUUGAAUAUAGGAUUCCUCUAUAGAUAUUAAUAAGUCUCUUAUGUAAACUCAAAGUCCUUUAUUAAUUAGGAUAGCUCUUUCCUUUUUGUAUUCAAACUCUAUUAUGUACAUCAUCAGCACACCUAUAUAUAUACAUAUAUUAUGGUAGCCUUGGUCACGACAGACAAGACCAAGAGAAUUGACCUCUUCUUUGUACGUUUUAAUUUGGUAUCAAGAGCCAACUUUUUUUUUCUCUUUCCGCCACCAUGGACAGCUCCAACCAGUCCACUGUCGCUGCUGUUCAGCCACAUUCAUCUUCUUCCACACAUCUCUCCAUAAUUGACUCCAACUCCUAAACAAUUGCCCUUCCCGGCCUUCCGAUAAAACUUGAUCGAGAAAAUUAUUACCUUUGGCAAUCUACCGUAUAUUCUGCCUUUGAAGCCUUUGAUUUGGAGGGUCAUCUUGAUGGAACUAAUGCUCCAUCUGCCACUAUCUUAACCACUACUCAGGACACAUCUGAAUCCACACCAAAUCCGGCCUUCACGGCUUGUAAGAAGCGGGACAAAAUCCUUCUUCUUUGGCUCAAAACUACCAUGAGCCAUUCUAUCAUACCUUACAUAAUGCACAUUCGUACCACUCGUGAAGCUUGGUCAUAUCUUUCCAACCUCUAUCAAUCUCAAUCCCGAGCCCGAGUCAUGCAACUUCGCCACCAACUCCAAACCACCACUAAGGGUUCUUCCACCAUUAUGGACUAUGUUGACAAGAAACGAACUAUAUCCCAUAGUCUAGCCCUUGCUGCCCAUCCCAUAUCAGACGAAGAACUUAUGAGUGCAAUUUUGUUCGGGUUAGACUCUUCCUAUGGCCCUUUUCGCUCUGCCAUUAACCCUCAGCUUGAAAACCUCACCACUGACUCACUUCUUGGUUUACUUCUCCAAGAAGAGGAGAAACUGGCUGAGGAAACCAAAUCCCUCCAACUUCAAGCCAAUGCCAUAUCUCGUCAAUACUCCAACCGCUCCCCAAUCACUGGAUCUCCUAAUCAACAAAGUUGCACCACCUCUCAAAAUCCCUCCAGUCGCCCGACCAUUACCAACCCCCCUCGUUCCUCUAAUCGAUCAUCACCUCGCAUAAUCUGUCAAAUAUGUGAGAAACCCAACCACCAUGCUCGUAAUUGCUACAACCGUAACAACAUGGAUACCUACCCACCUAAUCGAUCCUCUAACCGUCCACAAGCCAAUUUGGUUACUCCCUCGACUAAUUCUAUGAUGUCUCCUUCGGCUAUUGUUGAUAAUUCAUGGUUUGCAGACUCAGGUGCCACCAAUCAUGUUACGUCGGACUUGUCUCAACUAUCCAUUCACACGGACUAUAAUGGUGAGGACCAGCUUGCUGUAGGUAAUGGCCAAAAACUCUCUAUUAAUCACAUUGGCUCCUCUAAGCUUUUUUGUGCUACUCGACCUCUUCAUCUUAAUAAAAUUCUUCAUGUUCCUUCCAUUACCAAGAGUUUACUGAGUGUUUCUCAAUUUACUAAAGAUAAUAAUGUCUUUAUGGAAUUUCACCCUUCUUGUUGUUUUGUGAAGGAUCCUCAGGGAAAAAUACUACUUCGAGGGUCAAUUGAUAAUGGUUUAUAUCGUUUUGAUGGUGGUGGGCUUCCUGUUAUCUCAUCCUCAACUCCUCGUGCUUUUGUCUUCUCUCGAGCAUCACUCCAAGCGUGGCAUGAACGCCUUGGUCAUCCUCACGAGCAACUUUUACGUCGUCUAGUCUCUAGUUUUAAUCUUCCAGUGUCGUCCACUAAAAUGCCUACAGUUUGUGGAUCUUGUCAAUUAGGAAAAAGUCAUAGGCUCCCUUUGGCUUCUUCCUCAAGUCAUAGCUUAUUCCCUUUCGAUUUGGUGUAUUCUGAUGUUUGGGGGCCUUCUCCGCAUCUUUCUAUUAAUGGAAAUAAGUAUUUUGUUCAGUUUCUUGAUGAUUUCACUAAAUUUGUUUGGAUAUUUUUCUUGUCAACAAAAUCUCAAGUUCUUGAUGUUUUUAAAUACUUUCAUAAGAUGGUUUACACACAAUUUGGCAAAAAGAUCAAAACUUUGCAAACUGAUUGGGGUGGGGAGUAUCGUAAUGUAUCUUCAUACGCCCAAUCCAUUGGCAUAACUCAUCGUCUCUCUUGUCCUCACACUCACGAACAAAAUGGGGCUCCAGAAAGACGUAACCGCACCAUUGUGGAAAAAGGACUAACUUUACUUGCUCACGCAUGUCUUCCAUAUCAAUACUGGGAGCAUGCAUUUUCUACCGCCACAUACCUACAUAACCGCACCAUCACUCCCAUAUUAUCCUUUAAAUCACCCUAUCAAGCUCUAUAUCAUCGUCCAUCGGACUACCAACUUCUUCGAAAAUUUGGGUGUCUAUGCUACCCUUUUCUACAUCCUUACAAUAAUCAUAAAAUUGAUUUUCGCUCUCUUCCAUGUGUCUUCUUGGGUUAUAGUUCGAAGCAUAAAGGAUAUCUAUGUCAUUAUCCCCCCACCAAUAGGAUGUAUAUUGCUCGUCAUGUGACAUUCGACGAAGAUAAAUUUCCCUAUCCUCAUUACAAAACAUUUUCUUCUUGCUCCAGUGACAACUCACCACCCUCCUCCUUAACUUCUCUACAAUCAAUUUCCAACUCUUUUCCCACAGUUGCUGCCUCACCUUUACUCCAUUCACUGGCAGAUUCACAUUCCUCGUCCUCACCACCCACUCAAGCCCUACAAGUACCUCAUUCCUCUAACACAACAUCUCCACCACAAAAUACAUGUCCGCUCACCAUCGCGUCCUCUACUUCAAGCUCAUAUCAGAAUGCUCCAACAUAUUUCCGGCUUGCUACUUCUUCCAAUCAUCCUAUGACCACGAGAGCUCAAACAAAUUCCCUCAAGCCUAAAACACUCACUGUAUCUCGCCAUUUUAUCCCAGUUUCAUCCGCCAUGGCAAGUGAACCAAAAACCUAUAAGCAAGCUGCAUCCUCUCCUGAGUGGUUGUGCGCCAUGGAAGCUGAGUAUCAAGCAUUGCGCCGUAACUGCACUUGGACACUUGCUCCCUGCCCUCCCAAUGCAACGUUUUAAUUACAACCAUCACAAAGUACUUCAUUUGGAAAUAUUUUGCAGCAACUGGUGGUAUUAUCCACAAUCAGUCCACUUUGAGAAACCUCUUGACAACCUGGUGGGGACUGAAACAUAAGAAUGAGGUGCAGAAACUUAUUUUUCAAUCCUUACCUAUCAUCAUAUGUUGUAAUCAUAAGAAACUGUUAUUUCUCGCAGCACUUUUCCUCUCUCUCUCCUACAUCUCCGGCGCGACGGGCAACGCCGCAGCCUCCACCAGUUUCAUAAAAAGCUCUUGUAAAUCCCCUACUUUUUCUGAUGUAUGCAUCGUUUUCCUUUUCGGUUACACACAAGCCAUUAAAAACAGCCAACUGCGGCUGGUUAAAACGGCUUUGUCCACUGCAAGCACACUUUGUGUAUAGACACGUGCAACUUCAGUGAUAUGGUUGUUCAGUCACAAUUGCAGUGCAGAUGACUUGAAACCUUACCUGCACAAAAUAGUGAGUAAAUUAGUCGGGUUUCUACAAGUAUUGUCACCUUUACCAAUCUAUAACAUACUCAUUCGUCCAUGUGUAUAAGAGUAAAUGACAUAAGCUUUUAACUUGCUGCAUAUUCUAGAGAGGAAUGACAAUGAUGAAAGAAGCAGCUCUUGGAACUUUAGCCUCUUUAGCUAUUUCAUCGCAGGCACUUCACUUUCAGCGGUUCAAAAAGAACUUCUUUUGUUUAAUUCUCUGGUGUUCUAAACUUCAUUUUCCUGGGAUACUGCAGGAAGACUCUGCUUACAUAUAUGGUUCUGUAAUGCCUUAUCUUAAAGUUAUCUUGGAAACUGCUACUAAAGAUAGAAGUCGCAUGCUACUUGACAAAUCCAUGGAAUGUAUGGCUUUUGGAAAUCAAGCAAUCCAUGGUUAUGUUGAAAAGUUGAAUACAAUUUAUAUCUUUCCAUUAGCACUUAGCAGGCAUUAAGUGGUCAAAAUUGAUAUUAUGAGAUCAUUAAUGUGCUUAUGAUUUCAUUCAAAUAAAUUAUCUUCUGUUUGAAUUCAAUUUGAUUCAUUAGUGAGGUAAAUUUUUUAUUUCAUUUUAGUUUUUGUUUUAAAAUUGAAUUUGAAAAGGAUAAAUUCAUCAUAAGUAACACUACUAAAAUUUCGUUGUUUGCCGACUGUUAAAUUGGUCGGAAUGUAAUCGGAAAAUGGAGUUUUCCGAUGACUUACCAGGGAGUCCAACAGGAAUUAAGCAAAUGGAGUUUUUCGAUGACUUACCAGGGAGUCCAACAGGAAUUAAGCACGAAGCUACUGCCAAUAGGAUUUUUUGUUGCCUAGUAGAAUGUCCACAAAUGUACAUAUAUGUGAAUGUUGUGGGCUUAAAGUAGGUUGUUUUUGUAUAACAAAUGCAUGAUUAAGUUCAACAUUAGUGUUUUUGUAAGUAACCAACUCAGAUGCUUUUCAGAUUGCUCAAAACGCUGACCCAAACGGUAAGUUCAUCAUCUUCUCCAAGGUGUUUUUAAUUCCUUCUUCUCCGAGACUUUAUUGAACUUUUCUUUUCUCGCAGACUAUUCAGCAGUUGGAGUAAUCACAAAGAUCCAGUUAGAAAUACAAAGUCCUCAGAUGCUAUUAUGUCAACUGAUUAUAUGUUGUUGGGGCCGGUAUUGAAAUUUUGAAGCUUGGUGUUUGUCAUGGAAGGAUAAUGUUACAAAAAUAGGAGACUUCUUUUGAAAAAAAUGUAAUUGUAUGUCUUCGUUGUAUGUGCCAGCUUUUGUAAUUGAACAAUGAAUUAUGUAAGUUUCAUUCAGUUUAAAUGAAGAUGUGUCUAAUAUUUUAACAAUGAAUUAUGUGUGAGUGAAUUAUUUCUCAUGAAUGCUUUCUCCUUUAGCUUAAUCUGUAUAGUCACGUAGUUGAGGUGCUCUAAAAUAAAGAAUAUCACAUCAUUAAGAAAGCACUACCAAGUUAGAAGUAGCAUGCAAACUACAGUAAUUAUCAUAAAAAUUGGAAUUUGGCUCCUUUGAAUUGAUAGUUGGUGAAAGUAGCAGAUUAACAUUUGAAAGAGAAACUAAUGCACUGUCAAGUAAAGAAUGGAAAUAAAGUGAUUCUGAUAAAGGGUUACAACUAUCUAUCUGCCAUACACCAUUGAAAUGGUCAGCAUUGGAGGUAAUAAAUUCAUUUGUCCUUUGGUUAGUAAAGGAAGAUUAAUGCAAUUCUAAGGAGUGAAUGACAAUUGAAUGGUAAUCCUGAUAUGAAUUUUGAAGUUAGAGUUUGAGAAACUAAUGACACUAAUAGGCUUGGCAGAUUUGACAACAGUUGGAAAACCAUUUGGCUAAAACAUCAUAGUUAAAACGCCAAAUUGCACAAACUAAAAACAAAAGCCUCAAAACCCAAACCAGCCAUCCCACUAGACCAAAAAUAAUCUUCCGAAUCUAACCAUGCUCACGGAAUUCUCAUCCGAUCACGUUUUACCAAAAAUAUUGACUGAAGUUGAACUUUGACUAAAUUUCCAAGUUAAAAUGCCUAAUUGCACAAACUCAAAACGAAAGCCUCGAAACCCCAACAAGCCAUCCUACUAGACCAAAAAUGACCUUCCAGAUCUAACUGUGCUGAUGGAAUUCUCAUCCGAUCAAUAUUUAUCAAUAAUAUUGAGUUGAGUCGAACUUUGACUAAAUUUCCAAGUUAAAACGCCUAAUUGCACAAACUCAAAAUAGAAGCCUCGAAACCCAAACUAACCAACCUACUAGACCAAAAAUGACCUUCCGGAUCUAACCACGAUGACGGAAUUUUCAUUCGAUCACGUUUUACCAAGAAUAUUGACUGAAGUCGAACUUUGACUAAAUUUCCAAGUUAAAACGCCUAAUUGCACAAACUCAAAAUGGAAGCCUCAAAACCCAAACCAAUCAGCCUACUAGAAUAAAAAUUACCUUCCGGAGCUAACCGAGCUGACGCAAUUCUCAUCUGGUCACAUUUUACCAAGAAAUUUGUAAUUUAGUUAAAGUUCGACUUCUGUCAAUAUUCUUGGUAUAACAUGAUCGGAUGAGAAUUCCAUCAGUGCGGUUAGCUCCGGAAGGUAAUUUUUAUUCUAGUAGGCUGAUUGGUUUGGGUUUUGAGGCUUCCAUUUUGAGUUUGUGCAAUUAGGCGUUUUAACGUGGAAAUUUAGUCAAAGUUCUCGGUCAAUAUUUUUGGUAAAACGUGAUCGGAUGUGAAUUCCAUCAGCGCGGUUAGAUACGAAAGGUCAUUUUUUGUCUAGUAGGAUGGUUGGUUUGGGUUUCGAGGCUUCCAUUUUGAGUUUGUGCAAUUAGGCGUUUUAACUUUGAAAUUUAGUCAAAGUUUGACUCAACUCAAUAUUCUUGGUAAAACGUGAUCGGAUGAGAAUUUUGUCAUCUUCGUGGUUAGAUCCAUAAGGUCAUUUUUGGUCUAGUAGGAUGGUUGGUUUGGGUUUCGAGGCUUCCAUUUUGAGUUUGUGCAAUUAGGUGUUUUAACUUGGAAAUUCAGUCAAAGUUCGACUUCAGUCAAUAUUCUUGGUAAAAUGUGAUCGGAUGAGAAUUCCGUUAAAGCGGUUAGAUCCGGAAGGUUAUUAUUGGUCUAGUAGGAUGGUUGGUUUGGGUUUCGAGGCUUCCAUUUUUAGUUUGUGCAAUUAGGUAUUUUAACUUGGAAAUUUAGUCAUAGUUCGACUCAACUCAAUAUUCUUGAUAAAACGUGAUCGGAUGAGAAUUCUGUUAGCUUGGUUAGAUCUGUAAGGUAAUUUUUGGUCUAGUAGGAUGGUUUGUUUGGGUUUCGAGUCUUCCAUUUUGAGUUUGUGCAAUUAGGCGUUUUAACUUGUAAAUUUAGUCAAAGUUCGACUCAACUCAAUAUUCUUGGUAAAACGUGAUUGGAUGAGAAUUCCGUCAGCGUGGUUAGAUCCAUAAGGUCAUUUUUGGUCUAGUAGGAUGGUUGGUUUGGGUUUCGAGGCUUCCAUUUUGAGUUUGUGCAAUUAGGCGUUUUAACUUGGAAAUUUAGUCAUAGUUCAACUCAACUCAAUAUUCUUGGUAAAACGUGAUCGGAUGGGAAUUCCGUCAGAGCGGUUAGAUCCGUGAGGUCAUUUUUGUUCUAGUAGGAUGGCUGGUUCGGUUUUCGAGGCUUUCGUUUUUAGUUUGUGCAAUUAGGCAUUUUAACUGUGAUGUUUUGGCCAAAUGGUUUUCCAACUGUUGUCAAAUCUGCCAAGCCUAUUAGUGUCAUUAGUUGCUCAAACUCUAACUUCAAAAUUCAUAUCAGGAUUACCAUUCAAUUGUCAUUCACUCCUUAGAAUUGCAUUAAUCUUCCUUUACUAACCAAAGGACAGAUGGAUUUAUUAGCUCCAUUGUUGACCAUUUCAAUUGUGUAUGGUAGAUAGAUAGCUGUAACUCUUCAUCACUUCUAAUUAAAUACAAUCUGAUAUAUUAUAUGCCUUUUUAUCGAUCUAAAAUUUCAUUAUCUUCUAAGAUGCAGAUCUUGAAGAACGCUCAAUCUAAAUUCUUUCUUUGAGGUUAGAAUCUUUUGAAAUCUUAACCUUUUCUUAUGCUUUCUUGUUCUUCUUAUCAUAUUGUUUUUUUUCUCUUGUAAAUGUGGUGAGAGACAAAUGCAGCAUAUGUGAAAAUAAGUUGGCAUUCCAUCCAAAAUAAGGGUACAUAUGUCCAGUGGUAUAAUGGUAAGGGCAUAUAUGACCCAAUAGUAUAACGAAUGGUAUAUUUAAACCAUAUUUGAAAGUACAGGGGUACAUUUAACCCUUUUCCGUUUUUUUUUUUGGGUAGAAAUCAUGCUUUUUUAUAACUUUUUUAAAAAAAAUGAUCUCAUUUUAUUUUGGUAAAAUUCUACUGUGAUGUCUCUAUAAUACUAGGUCUUAUGUUGUACAUUGAUGUUUUUUCCCCUUAAAUAUAAACAUACAAGUUCAUUUUUCGAGUGUCUAAAAAUAAAAAUAAAUUUCUCGCAAUAUCAUUACUGAAAAUUAUAACAAAAGAUUACAUGUAAAGAAGGGUAAAUCUAAAUACUUAUUACACAUAAUUAAACAAGUCAAUGUAAGAACAUUUUUGUCAAUGUCAUCGCUUAUUUACGUAAUAUAUUCUUUUUGUUUAGGAAAUUUAAUCUAUUGACAUUUGACACAUGCACUCACAUAAGUUAAAACUAGUUUAAUUAAAAAAGAGUAAAUCAAAAUUGUAGCAUAAAUCGUGUUAAAAGUAAGAAUUAGCCAAAAUGAGGAAAAACUCGAAUGAAGUUCAAGCAUAUCAAGUGGUUUUCAAGUUCUCUAUAGUAAGCCCUAACAAGCAAAACAAGAACCACCACACACCUUAAAUCCUUAUUACAUAAGCAACUAAUGAUUCAUAUUGAGUAAUGUUUUGAGCAUAUAAAGUCUCACUAAGCUCAAAGUAACUAAUUAAUUUCAAGUUGCUCCUACCAAAUUGGACAAGUUGGUAGAGACUUCCAUCAUAUCUGGGCGUUCAUUUGGAUCCUCAUUCAAACAUUUUACUGCUAAGUCUGUGAUGCCAUUAGAGAGCUCAUCAUUAUCUUGCAGAAUUGAUUCAUUCACUAUUGAUCUUUUUUCUCCUUGGAGUUCCUUAAGAAUCCAGUGGUGGUGGAGUUCCCUAAGAAUCCAGUGGUGCAUUGCCAUCUUCUUCUCUAUACCAAUGUAGCUAUUGCCAAUCAACUCCACAAGUAGAAUACCAAAUAUGUAAACAUCAGCUUUUAAAUUCUGAAUACCUACAAUAACAUGCAGGAUCAUGUAAUGUUAGUUAUUUAUUACACGAUAAAAAAGAACAAUCUUACACAUCCAAAGAUUAGGAUAGAUCAUUGCAAUUCGAGAUUUAGAAAAUAUCCAACAAAAUCUUAAAGUACAAUGUGAAUGAAUAAAAGUCAUUUGUCCAUCCUCUAUCACUAACAAAAGGUAAUAGAAUAGAGAUAGAUACUGAUGAUUGAGAACAAAAGAACAAAACCACAACAGGUCAAACGUUGUGUUGUUGAGGCUUAUUUAAGGCGUGUAUAAGCCGAGCUUAGGGAGGGUGCUUCAACUCACUUAAACUCUGGUUAAGUAUAUGCAGGGUGAGCUAAGGUGUGUGACCCAUUGCCCAUGAGUAUUAUCUUGAAUAAAGUGGUGGCACCUAUAAAUAAAUAUAACCGGCAAAAGAAGUUACCUUUUUUUUCUUGCAUUACAUAUAUGUUUGUACUUGGUUUCUUAAUAAAAUCCACACCUCAAUUUCACUUAAAGUCCUAAUAGACCUGGAGUGUUUUGUUAAAAGCUUUUCACCUUCAAAUGAAAGAACAAAGGAAAUGACAAUAGAAAACUGAUUCCAGAUAUCCUUGAGUACCAACCUCUGCCUGCUAUAUUCCAGAUGUUCCGGGUGUCUCUAGGAACAUGAAUACAACCAAGAAACUCACACCAAAUUAAUACUACAGAUACAACUAAUGAAAGAAGCAAUGAAGAAAUGGUUGAACCUAGAACAUUGACCAAUAGAGAAAGAAUAUUUGCAAGGAAAUCAAUUUGUCCAGAGCGACAAGAGAAUAAGGAAAGUACAAUAUAAUUACACACAAUAUUGUAUUUUAUGACAUUAAGCUAAACAAAGCAGAAAGAAGAGUAAAGCAUAUAUUAAAGAGAACGAGAGGCAUCUCAAACUGCAAAAACUCUAGGUUGUAUAAAAGGGGGAAAAUCAUGUAUCUAAAAUGCCGAAGAGAUCCUUUCCUCUUCCAUUCAUUUAAGGCAGUACCUGCAAUCCUUCUAUCUAGAUAUAGCCAUAGCCACAUGCAUUCUAGAUUGGGUUGUUGCCCAAUCUUUCCCUUUUCUCAUGCAUUUUUUUAUGCGAGAGAAGGCGAAUACAAUAAAUGAAUUCACACCUUGAAACUUGUAACUAGCAAAUUCAGAAGUCACUAACUUGGAAUUUGGAUUAUGAUUUAUUUAAUUUUUUGGAAACAUUUGUGUCAUCUUCAUGAAUUCUAUACCUAAAUGGUUAAGGUUAAAAUCAAAUGAUUCUCCCGUCAAUCUAGCACCUCCGGCAACGUUUACAACACCCUCUCCUCCUCCCUUCUAAUCUGAUCCAUUUCUCUUUCGUUAACCCUCUCCUCUGUUCUUAUUUUCUGCAUUCUCUUUCUUUAACCAAACUUUAUCGAAACACAUCCAUCUCUCUCAGCAGCUACCUUUUCUAACUUUUGCUUUUGCAAGUUUAUGAAGUACUAAAAGAAGCAUUAUCUUAGUGUUGUAUAAAUAAACGGAAUCCAUUUUUUGCUAAUUAAAACAAAUUGUCACUCAUCUAUGCAUUAGUCAAUAGCAAAUACGGGGACAAAAGGUUCCCAUCUUCUACAAGUCCGAUUAGCUGUUUUUCUUGAAGGAUUGGUAACAUAUAACAUUCAGAGCUUAGCUGGUUCAAACAAACAGUUUAAAAGAUAGAAGUUCCCCUGACUAUAAAUUUCUUCACCACAAAGUUCACUAAAAGUAUAGACAUUUAAGUAAAUAAGACAAUAGACACAGCGUAUCUAGCCUCUGGAGGUUCUCGAAUAGCAUGAUAAGGCAAGGGACCCCAAUUAUCUUCAUUCGUGACCGGAGUAAGGAAACCAAAGUCGAAUACUUUAAUGUUGAAGUCCUGCGAGCCAAAUUGAACAGUAACUUGUAAAAGACCAACACGUAAGG
rnacentral:lncRNA from 1 species